UUUCCUCUCCAGUUGUUCCAAAGCCCCAGCCAAAAAUCUCAGUGGGAUUUCCCAGAGGAAUUGCUGAUCAAGCACAGCAGAGCUGCAGCCAAACACCAAGGCUGGAGGUUUGUAUAUUUGCUGUUUUCUUCCCCAGACUCCUGUGGCAGACCCCACUUGCUGUGAAUUAGCUGAGACUGUCACUAGUCCUGCUUGGCCACUCUCACCUUAGCCUUUGCAGUAUCUCCUCACUCGACUUUCCUCUGUCAGCUCUCUCAUUACAGCCUUACCAUCUUUCAUUGUUUGAAAGGGAUCCGCUAAAGGGUAUUUUUUUUUAAGGCUCAGCGCCUAGAGCCACUUAAUUACAUGAUAAUCUUAGCUUUUGUUUAAAAAGAAAUGCACUAAGCUCUCAUGAUGGUGUGGAGAAGAUGGUACGUUUGAACCUCUGGGGUUUGCAGAAGGCAUAUAAAAAUACCUAGUACGUACAUAUACAUAUAUAUAUUUAAUUUCAUGGUUUGGAGGUGGAAGACUAGUGUUUUACAGUAUUGCAAGAUUGGCAAUAGCGUACUUGGCUUCCAACAGGACUGACUUUUCUUCUCUUGGCCCUUGUUUAUUUCUGCAGACUGAUGUGCUUGUGGCUUGGCAAAUAAGUCUCUCUGGACCAUUGUAAUACUUUAUUGGUGCAUAUACAACUAUUGGGACAACAGCUGUAAACCAGAAGUGAAUUCUUAUUUUCUUUUUGUUUCAUACUUUGGCAUAGUAGAUAUUGGUAUUUUCUGAAAAGGCCACAAAAAGUCUUACAUUUCCUGGUAUGAAAAACAUGGGUAGAGAAAACAAAUACCUCCAAUCACUGGCCUUUUAACCUAAUGGCCCUUUCUACGAUGGAUGACUUUAAUACCUUUUUGUGCUUGCAAGGCCACAUAUUUCUUUCUGAAUGUUACUCUAAAUGCAGGGGUCAUAUUAGGCCAAAUAUGAUUGUCCUCGUCUAGAUUUUAUCUGCUUUCUGUGGUAGGAGAACCGGCUUCCAAGAGCUCUGUCUGGAGGGCUCACUACCUUUCUGCAGCUUUCUCAGCUUACCCGGCUGUGGUUUUCUUUUCUCCUUCUGUUUACAACACAUGAUAUGCUUUUAGAUGAUGACAAAACUCAGUUUUUCAUUACCAGCACAUGCAAAAUACCAAAGAGCAUGCAAAGGUGCCAAGGAGGGAGAAAGGGAGAGACUAGUGCUGUGUGCCUCACAUGGGCUUCACGCUCAAGAAUGACACUGGGACUCCUUCAGAGGGUUUUACAUGUCAUAUUUCCACCCUACAUCUUUAAUGAGAUGGUUACCCAGGACUCUUUCCCUGUUUGGUGUUGUUUCUGGUUUUGUAGAUGUCAAGCUAUCAGUACAGAACAGUUUGCUGGAAUACAAGGUCUUUCUUACAAUUUUGUCCCAUCGCAUAAAUCAUUGCACUUCAAAGAAGCUGUUUGGUAUCCAGGCACGCUGCGAUGGGAUUAUGAAGUGUUUAAAUCAUCUAAAGGCCCUUACCCUGCAGUAGCCAAGACAGGUACCUGUUGUAAUUUGUCAUAAAUAUUUGAGAUGAAGUCAGCAGUGGCCAAACUUCAUCAGCUACAGGCAUAUAAACAUGAAAAAACCCCAAAACAACCAAAAGUAACACUGCAUAAAAUGGUGGGUAUCUUCUGAUGAAAAUAUGACAGACCCAGCUGGAGAGAGGACAGCUUAGCUUAGCUAGAGAUUAGAUUAGAAUUUCUUGCUUUGCUUUGGAUGCAUGUGCAGCUUUUGCUUUACCUAUUAAACUGUCUUUAUCUCAGACCAUGAGUUUCCUCACUUCUACCCUUCUGGUGCUGUUCCCCAUCCUACUGAGGGGGACAGAGUGAGCAGCUCUGUGGGGCUUAAUUGCUGUUAAACCACAUCACAGUCCUCUACUAGGUUGGCAGUCCUGUUCUCUACAUUUCUCUUGCUGUUUAUUCUUUCCUGAGCAUGGAGUGCUUCAGAGACACAGCUCUGGUGGUGAGGCAGCAGUCCUGGAGAGAAUGGAGGAUAUCCGUGAGGGUGACACUGGCCUCUAAGGGAGUUGUGAUUUAUGGAGACAUACUCCUUUUCUACUGGAGUGCUGGGAGGAAAGCAGACCCCAGAGCUGCUGGAAGACAUUCUGAGAAAUCUCAGUAAGUGGUUUCUUGGCCUCAGUGUGGGCUUUUUUUUCCUCUUUAAAGGUACAAUUUAACACUUUAACUAUGAAUUGCUUCAUUCAGAAAUUUCUGCCUUAUGCCUCAAACAUUGAUGGCACUUAAUAAAUAAAGUGCUGCCUCUCUUCUUCUCUGCUCCCCACUUUUUUUUUCCCCCUCUGCUUUUUGACCGUUUGCUCUCAGUUCAGCUGCAGAACUCAUAUGCCUUUAGUCCAGGUAACCGCUGAACACCUCUCAGUCUUCCUCUGUAAUAACUUUUCCCUUUUAGUUCUUAAUUUUCAGUGCAAAAGUCUGUUUUAUGUGGAAAGCAACAGGACAAAAGCAGGAUGACUGGAAAGAAGGUAAAACUGAAAAGGCAUGGGAUCAGCUGUCUUGGCUUUUGUUCAGUGCUUAUUUAUUAAAAGCCCUCGUAUUUAAAAUGUAGAAGAAGCUUCUGCAGAACACACCAUCUCCUGCACCAGAUAACCUAAGACUGCUGAAACUGUAGUUGAUAAAGCUGGUUUAAAUUUUGUACGAAGUAUGCUUAAUUUUGAAUAUGUUCAUUAAUUUUAGAUGGAACUUCUUUUCAUUUAACAUUUAAAUGCUUGUCAUUUGUUACUACUUCAUUAAGAAAUUAACUGAGAUCUGACACUGAGUACUUAAGGUCUCUGUCCCAAAGAGCUUCUCCUCUAGAUACACGAGACAGCACCAGACGGGAAAGGAAACAGAGAAAUAAAUAGAUGCAGGAAUUUGUCCUAGGACAAAUGGCAGGACAGUAGCAGUGAUGUGAUGAGAAACUGAGUCUCUUAGCACCUAAGUCAACAGCCUUUUCACUGGGCUGCAGUAAUAACAGCAGUGAGUCUAACAAGGAGGUAAUUUUGGUAUUCAUAGCAAGAUUAACCAACACACCAUGUCCAGUAGAGACAACUCAGAAUUCAUAUACACAAAGGGCACAGUUGUAACAUAUUCACUGAAUCCUUUUAACCUUUUUCCAUUUAUGUCUGAAUAAUAACACUUAGAAAUAUGCAAAACUAGGGCUUAACAAGCUAGAAGAUUCAGAUUAUGGAUGUUACUGUGCUCCUUCAAGUUCAUUAAAUAGCAUGCAAGGUAAUUAUCAGUCAUUGAGUUUCCCCUGCUCAGAGAUAAACCAAAGGGGCACAAUUAUGGCUGCAAAAUCCAAGAGGAAAAAAGAAACAGUUUUUAAAAAAUGUAGCAAAAGCACAGCACAGGUGGACUGUUCCGAAAGGAUCACCAGGCCAUGCAGCUCUGCAGAAGAUAAGCAGGGACUCCACUGCGACAUGAGUGAGUCUUAACGUCCAGAGAUAAGAGAAAGCAGAAUUUACCUCUUAAAUGUGACAGAGGUGAAAAUUACUAUUUCCACACCACCCUUUUACAGGUGAGGUAGAGAAGGACAGCAGAUUGCUCACUGGCCUGGAUUACAGAAGAGCUGGGGUUCCUUUUCAGCUUGGACAAGUCUAGUAGCUGUAUCCUCUGUCAAGACUUCGUACACUUGGUACAGCUUUCCCACAUAGAGCACUCAGACUCCUGUUGGUCACUGGUCAUGCUGACAAAAGUAUUCAAUGUGGAGGAAUCCAACAAGAUUUCCAAACCAUAUGUCUUUCUUCUGAGCCCUUCAUCUACCCAGAGCACCUGCUCAGAGCUGCCUACUCUACAGGAACAAUGGCCUAUUUCUUCAGCUUUCCAGAUCAAUUUGAAUUUGAGCCUGUCCUCCAAUCUGACAGCAAUCCCUGCAGUAUCAUAGAAUUUGUGGUUGUAGUAAGCACACUUUCUAUUUCAUCACUCAGCUCACUAAAAGGGAAAAAAGCGCAGCAUGUUUGAACCUGUCAGGAGUGGGGUUUGUAUUUGAGAAAUCUUUUGAAUUUAGUCUAGAAACACUAAAUGCUUCUCUGGGUAUGGUACCCAGUCAAUUAGGCACUUACCUUAUGGUAUUUUUCUGUAGGGUGCUUAAGAGAAUGCAACCAUGCUUUAGUCUAAAUUUGCCUAAACCAGGUGCUAAAAACCAAACACCCAGUGAAGUCUGAAGUAUCCUGACUUCAUGCGCUGACAUUUUGCUGUCCCUUCUUUAAAGGGCCCACAACGCUUACAUAAUGAUUAAUGUUAUGUGAGAGUUGGUAGCUCUCAGUAUGAAAAGGUGAAAUCUUGAUUUCUAUUAUGUUUAAGUGGAUUUUCUUUUUUUCUGCAAAACUGUAGCCCAGAAACAUUAUUGAAAGGCCAGAGUAAGGUAACAAAUGUUAAUUUUGUGGUAUGGUAUGUUAUAUGUUGGAAGUGAAAGCCAGAAAUCACAAGCUUUUCAAUGUGACAUAUAAUGAUUGCUCUUAGAUACUGACCUGCUUUAUUUACAAGACUUUAAAAAUUACAUUGUGAAUACUCAUAUGAUCAUAAUAAAAUGAUUGCCUGAAGAAGUGUGAAUUCCAUUUAGACUUUUCAAAGAAGCACUCAGUGGGCUUUGUACUGCGUGGGCAUGACCUUGGAAUAGGCCUAUCAUUUGACUAUGAAAACAUGGCUUAGUUCCAGUGUUAACAACAUAGCUCUGUUAAAAUAACUGGUGGGUGAAACAACCCAUAAUUUUUGUAACAUCGCUGAAAAAAGUGUUUUCCUUAAGCAGUGUUAAUUGUGUACAGGACAACUUUUUUGUACAAUAUUAAUAAUAUUGGUUUGAUUAGCUAUUUUUAACAAAAACUGUGAACAAGCAUCUCUGGAUGUUUCAGUGAAGGGCAAAAGCACUCAGGUCCCACAUUAGCAGUGUUCUGUACUUGAUUCUACUAUUUCUUCAUUUUGGUUUUUUUUUUUUUUUUAUGUGAAUCUCAACAAAGCAAUUUGAGCCACAUUAGUCAUAUAU